rnacentral:pre_miRNA from 1 species
AAAAGGCCCUUUCAGACUGUUAUCUAUGACUAGUCAAAAAAUGCACAUAGCAGUCGAAAAGGGCCUUUCGC